rnacentral:rRNA from 1 species
AUUGAACGCUGGCGGCAUGCCUUACACAUGCAAGUCGAACGGUAACAGGCCUUCGGAUGCUGACGAGUGGCGAACGGGUGCGUAAUACCUCGGAACGUGCCAGAUCGUGGGGGAUAACGAAGCGAAAGCUUUGCUAAUACCGCAUAAGAUCUACGGAUGAAAGCAGGGGACCGCAAGGCCUUGCGCGAACGGAGCGGCCGAUGGCAGAUUAGGUAGUUGGUGGGAUAAAAGAUUGCCAAGCCGACGAUCUGUAGCUGGUCUGAAAGGACGACCAGCCUCAAUGGGAAUGAGACACGACCCAGACUCCUACGGGAGGCAGCACUGGGGAAUGUUGGACAAUGGGCGAAAGCCUGAUCCAGCCAUGCCGCGUGCAGGAUGAAGGGCUUCGGGUUGUAAACUGCUUUUGUACGGAACGAAAAGACUCUUUCUAAUAAAGAGGGUCCAUGACGGUACCGUAAGAAUAAGCACCGGCUAACUACGUGCCAGCAGCAGCCGCGG